CACCAGGCGUAAACAAUCCGCAGAAACUCUGCGCCUGAAAGCAGCCGGCGACGGUGAGGUGGUUUGCUCUAAAUCUUAAAUGCUAGUGGAACUUUCUGCGAGGCGGUCAAAUUGCGGGGAACUCGCGAAGCAUUUUACUACCAAGCCAGUCUCGCGAGGGAUUGGUGGCCGGACGUAACUAUUCCGGGGAUGGUAAUAAGGUAAUUUGUAUGUGAUUAUCCGCAGCGAAGCCUCUCCUUUUAAGGAGUGGAACGUUCAGAGACUAAACGGCCGUCGGUCCAUUGUAGCUAUGGGCUCAAGAUAUAGUCCGGGCAGCCGCGAAAGUGGUUG
rnacentral:ncRNA from 1 species